AUCCAGCUGACGAGUCCCAAAUAGGACGAAAUGCACUUCGUCCUAGAU
rnacentral:hammerhead_ribozyme from 1 species